CCUACGGGAUGCAGCAGUGGGGAAUAUUGCACAAUGGGCGCAAGCCUGAUGCAGCCAUGCCGCGUGUAUGAAGAAGGCCUUCGGGUUGUAAAGUACUUUCAGCGGGGAGGAAGGUGUUGAGGCUAAUAACCUCAGCAAUUGACGUUACCCGCAGAAUGAAGCACCGGCUAACUCCGUGCCAGCAGCCGCGGUAAUACGGAGGGUGCAAGCAUUAAUCGGAAUUACUGGGCGUAAAGCGCACGCAGGCGGUCUGUCAAGUCGGAUGUGAAACCCCCGGGCUCAACCUGGGAACUGCAUUCGAAACUGGCAGGCUAGAGUCUUGUAGAGGGGGGUAGAAUUCCAGGUGUAGCGGUGAAAUGCGUAGAGAUCUGGAGGAAUACCGGUGGCGAAGGCGGCCCCUGGACAAAGACUGACGCUCAGGUGCGAAAGCGUGGGGAGCAAACAGGAUUAGAUACCCGGGUAGUC
rnacentral:rRNA from 1 species